UUUUGGGCUAAAAUCCAAUUAUACUACCCCACCCGACCCAAACACAACCCUAAAUUCUUCAACUAGCGGCGCUGUUCUUCAUUUCUCCACAAUCCCUCACCACUCUCUUCUACCUUUUCAUUUUUCUUUUCUGGUUACAAUCAAAUCAAUUAUUUUUCAACCUGUUUGAAAAAAAAGUUUUAAUUUUUCAUUCGAUUCAUGAAGCAAGUUUUUCAAUUUUUCAUCUGGGUUUGUCUUUCUAUGCAUAUACUUAGAUCUGAAAUGACAAGGAAAUGAUGGGUUAUAGUAAAAGGUUUGAGUUGGAAGAAUAUAUAUUUGUGUAGUAGUAGUGACAGUAAUUGAAGUUUUUAAGAAAAAAAAAACAAAAUUUGGAGAUGGCCCCUGUCCUUUGUUUAGUUAUUGCACUGUGACAUUCGCAACGUCUUCUAUAUCAAAUUGAAAGGGGUUGUAACAAAAGGCGUGGGUUGCAUUCUAGUAUGGAAUGAUAAUCUAGACUUCUCCCCACAGUUUUUAAUCACUUCAAUUACUUGUCUAUUACUGUCACUGUUCUUCCUGCGAUGAUUACAAUCUUUCUUCUGAUCCUUGUCAUUAAUUAUACACAGUUUUUUUAUUAUAAGUUUUUUAGUACUUUUACAUUGUUUUGGUUGUUUUCUUGAUACCUGCUCUGUCCAUUUGCGCCGAGAUAAAAGGUCACCCUGCAAUACCUAAUUGUCAAUAUUAUUCAUGUCAUAAUAUGAACCAUCAAUAAAAUCUCCUAGUUCUAUCAAAAUAGAAUAAAAAAUUGUCGCAAAGUCUCAUUAUCCGAUGUAUCAAUUCUUCCAAAUCUGUAGAUAUGAGAAAGUAUUAAGUUUAACAUAGAAUAACAUUGAAUAUCACAUGUUUAUGUUAGUAUGGGAACCUAAUUUAAGGGGAUUUGUAAUUGGAUGUCUUUGAUACAUUCAUGGAGAGCUUCUUAAUACAAUUUUGUUGUUGUUUGUUUCAUCGCUUUUAUCUUUAAUUUAUUUUUGAUCAUUGAGUCUUCUUUAUGAUUGUAGAUUUUUGAAUCAAAUUUUGAUGGUAGGAUAACGAUGAGAAAAUGCAAGCCUUACUUCCAGGGGAACAAGGUAAUGGGGAGACAAACUACCCCCACUUGGUAGGAAGAAUAGUGUCAAGAUCUGUCGAGUGAUUACAAUACCCCUACUUGGUACGAAGAAUAAUGUCAUGAUUUGUCGAGUGAUUAUAAUACGACUUACAUUUCCUCCUAAGGAGAGACAUAAGCUCUUAGUUGCUAAACUCCUUACUAAGUGAGAAAGCUUCUUACAUAUGGAACUUGUUAAUAGGGGUGGCAAAACGGGU
rnacentral:lncRNA from 1 species